rnacentral:lncRNA from 1 species
ACUUUAUUUUUUGUUUUAACGUAAGUAACUGGAUUCAUUAAUUAUAAAGGAAUUGAAGUUUAUAACCCUAGUUUGAAAAUAACUAAGCAACAGCAAGAUAACAAAAAAAUAGCAAAUAAACAAUAAAAUAAACGAAGUGGAAAUAAAGUGGUCCGUUGGCUUUGUUAGGACCUUCAUACUCCCCAGAUUGCAACCCAGUUGAUCAGAGGGGAGCCUCUUCUCACUCUUCCAAAAUUUCACCCUUCUGUUUCCUUUUUCCUCUCAAAAGAUCUAUUGCCAUUCCUCGGAGUGGACCCUUUUGGCCAUUUCUUGAGUCAGUUAGCCUCGUUGGCUGUCCGAUCUUCUCUCCUCCUCCAUUUUUCCCACGGCGAACUCCGGCACUUCCCCUACCAGGUAAGCUUGCUCCCUUAAUUUUAAUCCUCCCAUCGCUAAAACAUGCGCUUGGUCGUUCCUCUCCCUUGUGUGGGAGAACAAACGGGUUGGAAAUCAUCUUUUAACGAUUUUACAUUUUCAAUGAAAGCACUUAUAUAUAAUAGGCUAUAUUUUGUUUUCUUUAAUUUUUGCAGUUAUAUUUUGAAAUUGUAUAAUUUGCCAUUCAAUUAUUAGUGUGAUUGAAUUUUACCACUAAACUUUAAUUUUUUUUAAAAGAAUUUCCAUAAACUUUGAUUUUUAGUUAAAAAUUUAGCACUUAAUAUUAAUUUUGAUGAAAAAAAAUUGAACUUUAACUACUAAUCAAAAGUUACUUAAAGUUCAUACUUUUAUGUAUUAUAGAUAGAUAAGUCAUAAAUAUUUAAUUUAAUCAAGUUACAUAUUCAACUUUAACUACUAAUAAAUUAAGCCAUUUAUACUAACAUUGUAACACUCUCGACUCGAUUUGAUUGGUUGGAUCCAGAUCUUAGGUAUUAUCAAGUUAAUACAAAUAAAAACUCAAUCUACUUUUACAAAUUACGAUCACUUACGUCUUACUUAAUCACAAAAUUUCUAAUUUGAAUAGAUAAACAUGUACAAGUAAAUAUAAUUACAUCACGUGGUAAUUAAAAUACAACAAUAUUUAAUUUGAAACUCUAAUACAAUACAGAUGCCCCAAAUAGGGACUUCUAAGUAAUAAUUCAGUCUUGGAAUACAUCGCCAAUCUUGCUCUGUAUACACAAUAACCUGAUAUUUCACUUUUAGGGAUAGUCCUAACAUCGUCCCUCUUGACGUAGACUUACGUCAUCUCACUUAUAACAUAAUACAUACAGAUAAGUUUAUAAGAAUUUAGUAAGGAAAAUAUAAUUUACAUGAGUCAUAUUUGCACAUUGCAAUUGAUAGUUUAGAUAGAUGAUACCAUCGUCCUUAAACAUUCAACUUUGUCUCUGAUGAAUACUUCCUCAAGUUUUGUUUCCAUAUUCACAUCAGAUAUCAUACCUUACUUUGAAAUCACUUCUUCUUAUCGAAGUAUUCAAUACAUCAUUUACUUCUUUCAAUCAAAACAAUCAUAAAUCUUUAUCCAUUUUCUUUUCAGAGAUCAAUACAAUCAGUAACAACAUUACGCUUGCAAACUUACUUCUGAGCCAUCAAAUCAUCACAAUUCAAAAGAAUGUGUGCACAGACGAUAGAUACCUCCUUCAAACAUACAAAUUUUACAGUCUUAUUUUUAGACGAGUCAUAGCCUUAUAUAACUCGUUUUUACUGUACUAACCAUAUAGACAUAAAACCUUUCUAAUCUUACUGAUUUCACUUAAGAGUCAUGUUGAAUGCGCCUAAUCGAUUUAUUAUAGAACCUGCCACAAGAACAUUCUUUCCGAUAUGUCACCAAGGACUUUAUUUUGACGUAUCAUAUGGACAUUUCUUUCAGAGUUCGUCAUGAAUGAUACUUUUUCAUAUUGCGCUACGAAGGCGCUCCUUUAGGGUUUGCCAUAAGGGUAUUUUCUUCCUAAUGUGUUUGUGAUAUGAAUUUGCCUAGACUCACAUUUCGUGAGAUUUGCUUGUCAUUAUCCUAAGACAUGCAGAAAAAAUCCAUUAGGCUAUAGCCAUGACCAUGGACUUUCCAUUCAGGGUUCUUAUUUAAAGUCCCGGCGAACCCUUUUGAACAUCACCGCGAUGAACAGACAUAAACUCUUCAUGCCCUUAUACAAUUUAAACCUAACCUUUUAUUCCACCAACAUAUAACCACAUACAUUCCCGACUCAUAAUACAAAUUCUAGGCAUACAUAUAACCAUACCUCAGCAUUACAUUAUUUAAUCACCAUUCAUCAUAUGCUUGAACUUAUCAUAUUCCAUACCAAUUAUACAUGCCAUCCUCAAUGAACAAUCAUACAUUCAUAGAUCUCAUUUAGUAAUUACUCAUAUAGUUACAUACAUAUCAUAUCGUACCUUUCGUGAUCUCGGCUUCAUAUUUCAUUUAGUAUGCCACAGAUCUAUUUGCAUGAAUAGUACAUAUGCAAAAGUCAGCAAAGAGGCUCACCUGACAAUCUCACAUAGCAGCUUAAAUUCUAGAUCCAACAAGAGAUUACAAUAACCACUACUUAUAAAACAAAAGAACACCAUUAAAACUCGUUUUAACCUCUACCGUCAUCUUAAACCUAGAUAACCCACAUAUAAAGCCUUACUUCUUUAUUUAACUAUUCAUGCACUUAUUCAAACUUAAUCUUUCAUAACUUUAACAUGUAGAGUUACAAUAUUUACCUUGACAUGUAGUAGUCACUAACAAAAAUCUAGAUUUACAACUCCAAUUUAUAGGAGAAAAAAAUACUUUCUGGUUUCUCCAGUAUCAGAUAACAAUACUUUAGAAGAAAGAAGGAAAAUUUUUUCUUUCUCUACCCUUAAUAUCGACAUAUUUAACCUAAGUCCUUAUUGGAACUUGACAUGUGUCACAACUCGUAAGAUUGUUUUUAUAAAUGGCUUACAGUUGUAGAGAGAACCUAAAUAAAAAUCCAAUAAAUUAUAUAUUUGGUUCUUCGGUUCUAUCCAUUUCUAUCCAAAUGGUUUUUAACGUAACUGGCACAGUAACUCAAUGAACUUGGCAUAUAAUACCUUCGACAAUAACUCCAACUUACAAAAUUCUCAAUACUCUUACCAAACUCCCUUUCCUUACAGCACAACACAUUCUAAGUUCGAUCCGUAUAUAAUAUUCCAAUAUCUGCUAUGCACUCAAAUUGUACACCAAAACAAUAAUUGGGCAGAUAGGCUACGCCUCACAAAUUACUCUCAGUCUACUCGCCAGAACUUAAAACCCAUCAAAACUAGGUGUUACAAACGCCGUCGAGUUAUUUUAAUGGAAAAAUUGAGUUAUCACUUCUAUUUAGCAAUUUUUUUCAAAUAAGCAAAUAAUAUAUAUUGUUAUUUUAAAUAAAUUUGUCUAAGCUUUUUUCCAAACAUAAAUUACUAGAGAAAUAAAAUUUAGUUUUGCAAUUCUGUAAGAAUGAAACCUUAAUCAAUUGAAUCAAUUUUUUUGAAUUUUUUUCUCAUUCUUCAUCAUUCAUUUUCAACCAUUAAAGAUUUGCAAUUGUUCCUUUAAACUUUCAUAAUCGAUCAUGGAGGUUUUUAUUCCUUGAUAUAGAGGUAGGGAUCAACAUUGAAAAGUCCUCGAGUUGCAGAUUUGACGUAGGGCUUUAGACUAAAUUGAAGGGAAUUGGCAUGUAAGCAACCUAAAACACAUAAGAAAUGUAACAACUCGAUAGGCAGGGGUGUUGAAAAGUGUAUAUCCGGGACUCUGUUCAUGUAAACCAGACUCGAAGUUAAUUAUUUAGUUAAUUAAAUUUUGGAUAGAUAAUUUACAUGAAUUAGGAGCUAUUAUGGUUUAAGGACUAAAUUGCGUAAAAGUAAAAAAUUCAAUUAUAAAUUGAAAUAAACUAAAGGGGCUAAAGUAAUAAUUAUGUAAUUUAAUAAAUGGUUGUGUAUAGGUGCCCGGUCAAGGGUUAAGUGUAAUGUGCUUUUAUAUAUUAUAUAUAUGUUAUAUAUUAAGUUAGAAUAAUAAUAGUAAUAAAUAAAAUGAAAACAAAAUUAAAAGAAAAAAGUGAAGUAGAAUGAGAGAGCACAUGCAAAUUAAAAGAAAAGAAAAGAAAGAACCAAAAGAGGCCGACGAUACUAAGGGCUUCAAACUUUCAAAUUUUAAUUGGUUAGUCAAUUUAGCCCCAUUUUCUUAUAAUUUUCAUAUUUUUGGAAUCACAGUACCUAGGUUCUAAUUUUUAGUAUUGUUUAAGAUUUUAGAUGUUGCUAUUGUUGAAUAGUUUAAGUAUUAGGAAUUAAAUAGAUAGAUUUUUAAGCUAGAAGUGGAAAAUGACUAAAUUGUGAAAUUAAUAGUUGAUUUUGAGUAAUAGGGACUAAAUUGAGAAAAUUUUGAAAUUGAAGGGUUGAAUUAGAAAAUGAGCUAAAUUUAGUUUAAAGUGAAAUUAGUAUAAAAAUAUAAAGUUAAAUGUGAAGGUUAAAAAUUAGUCUCGAUUUAGGGACUAAAUUGAAGUUUAAGCAAAUAAAGUGUAAAAUUUUAAUUUUAAUGUAAAAUUAAAUUAUGUAAUAUUAAUAUAUUUUAAUUGUUUUAUUCCGUAGCUAACGUCGUACCGGAAUCCUUGAGUAAAAAGGAGAAGGAUAAAAUUGACGUCGAAUAGCUCAGAAUUUACGGUUUGUGUGUUCUAUAAUCCUAAUUAAAUAACAGAUUGUUGUAUAAUUAAUUGUUUGCAUAUGGUAAGCAUUUGUGGUGGGUACUUUGGUACUUUUGGAUUAAAUUGAAUUCAUAGUAAAUUUGAAAGGGAUUCAUUUUGUGUAUUAUGAAAUAUGUUGAUUAUAUGAAUAUUGAAUUGACUAUAUGUGAUAGUGUAUAUAUGUGAAACUGAGACAUUAGUUGUAUUGAAAAGUGAAAUAAAACUCUAUUAACUGUAUCGGGCUGAGUUGGAUAUAGAUGGCAUGCCAUAGGAUAGGAAGAGUUCAAGGAUUUCUCUUAAGUCGAUGAGGCACUGGGUGCCAAUUUACUUUGGUUUAACUGAUGAGACAUUGGAUGUCAAUUUAUAUAGCACUGGGUACAGUUAUUAUUUUGGAAUUAACUAGACACUAGGUGCCAAAUUGGUGUGUUGGUUGGAUCUGUGUAUCUAUCCGAGUCUGAGUCAUGUUAAUAGGGAAAAUUAAAUAAUAAAUUUAUAUGUUUGAUAUUGAGAUGACCAUGUUGAGAAAUGAAUAUGAGAUGAGAAAAAGAAAUAUGAAAUAAUGAAAUGUGAUGUGAAUCUUGAAAUGAAUUCAAGUAUCAAAAUGAUUAAUCAUGCCAUUGAAUGAGUUGGACUACUAAAUGCUAUAUAUAUGAAAUAUCACUGAUAUGUGCUUGAACAUAUGAAAUAUUAUUACCAUGUGCUAAAUUUUGUGAACUCUAUUGAAUGUGAAUAAAGAAUGAGUAAGUUGGCAUUAUUGAUUUGAUACAUAUGUUUUAUAACAUUACUUAUUGCAUUUUUAUAUCUUAUCUAUCCAUAUCAAGUUUAAAUUAUUCGGAUUAUAGAAAUACCACUAAGUUAUACUCAGUGUGCGGUUUUGUUUUCUGUACGCAAGCUAGGUACUUUUCAACAUAUCGCAGACUCAGCAUCAAACAAUAAAUCCCGAGCUCAAGUGUGGUUAUAUCUUAUUUUGAAAUGGCAUGUACCGAGGAAGUCUUUGGUUGAUAGUUGGUUUGUCAAUGUCAUGUUAUUUUGUUUUAAGGUGAAUUGAUGGUUACUUAUAUAAUUGUGGUUUAAGCUAUGUUUUUGUAUGUAGUCUAAUUAAUGUGUUGGUAUGUGUUGUAGUUUAAAACUUGGUAGCCUAAGUAGUUAAAGGUUAGUUCAAUAUUAGUUAAUUUGAUAUGAAUGAAAGUCUUUGAAUGGUUGAUGUGUUUGAUGAUAUAAAAUGUAGCACCAAUGAGGGUACAUUGGCUAGACACUUAAGGUGGUUUAUUUGGUUUGUUUUAAGCAUGCUUAAUCGUGUUUUGAACAAGUUAAAUGACUGUUAAUUAAGUUUCUUAGUGUCUAAGUAAGUAGGAAAUGGUAAACUUGAGUUUUAAGGUACUUAUAGGUGCAUAUGGCCUAAACACGGUCUGUCACACGAUCGUGUUGAAAAAUAGUAUAGGUGUAGUUUCCACACGGGCUGACAC